GCGGGAGUGGUUCAGAGGUAGAACGCCACCUUGCCAAGGUGGAUGUCGCGGGUUCGAAUCCCGUCUCCCGCUCCA
rnacentral:tRNA from 1 species